rnacentral:tRNA from 1 species
GGGGACGUAGCUCAUCUGGUAGAGCGCCGCCUUUGCAAGGCGGAGGCAAGGGGUUCGAGUCCCCUCGUCUCCACCA